GUGGGAAUAACGCGUCUGCGGAGCUGCCUGGACGCAGAGAUUAAUUUCCCCGGCUUUUAUAUAAAGAGUUUCUCAACCUCGGUACCACUUCCCGGACUUUUGCCUUCAGCGCACCCCCGCAUAGCUGCCACAGCCCGCUGUCUCACCCAGGGGAGAACGAGGAUCCUUCGCUUAGAGUUUACCCACCACGAAAAGGCAAAAGAUCCCUCGGGAAGCUGUGAGGCACGCUCAGUAUUUGUUGACCACCCGUGGAGGAAGGAACCAGUCGCCAGCUUCGUGAUUUAGAUGCUGAAUAAUUUGGAAGGUUUCCAAGGAACUCGAGCGCAGCCCAGUCACCGGAAGCAAUGGGGGUUUGGUGGUGAUACGUCUUUUGGGAAAUCCCACUGGAUACCUGUGGGCAUCUUCAGAUGCUCUUCUCUGGGCCUUCAUCAUCGACGGUGCAGUCCUCCUGCUAGGUAUUAUCCCAGCAACUAAGGGUGCACAGGUGAGUGUUAGGACAGCUGUCACACCUGCCUUUAUGGGAAGCAGGUCUCAGACACCCACCCAACUAGCUGGAAAUUUUCCAACACCACACAUUGCUGCUAAAACCUGCGUUGCCUGAAAUGAGCCCAAGGAACCUUGUGGUAAUGCCAGGGGAAGACUGGCAGGACGUUCUUCCUGCAGGCAGGGACCCUGGCAUGUCUCCCACCCAGAACAGACAGACCUGAGCCAUGGAUCUUGCAGCCAGGGAACCCCUCUGCCCCCCUGGCAAAAGCAAUUUGGACUGAAAACCAGAUGACCCAAACCCCAGUGAUUCCUUUGAACAAGAAUUGUGCUUUCUGGCCGUCUCCAGUCUGACCCGUAUGCCCCAGUCUCACCAAGAGAGCAUAUUCCCUCCUAUUGCAUUAAAGAAGUGUGCAACAUGGAAUACAGCAUGCAAUAAAUAGCAACGUUGCUCCUAAUAUAUAACAAUACGAAAGAAGUUCCCUUGGAGGUUCACAGGUUUUCUUGUCAUUGCUCUGCUAGAGGGCCACAACAAAUGAAAGGGAUUUGUAAUUGUGCUUGUUUUCAAAAGGUGAGGUGAAAUAAGGCCUGCAGCUGAAGUUAUACUUAUGCAGAGGUAACUGUGGGAGCCGAGACCUGAUAUCCCCACUCUAACAGUUUGGUUACCAGCAAUCAGGAGACGUGGCAAGCAGAGGUGGCUAAACUGAAAGGGCUUAAGCCCAUAUAUUCUCACCUACCCUUAAGUACACAAAUGAUUAAACCUGCAGUCAGUGGGGAGGAUAAAAAGCUUGUGCCAUGAUGUGUGAUAGGAUUCAACCUCCCUCAAACCUGCCCUCCACCUUGUUGGGGGGAGGGGGGAACAUUGCCUUUGAGCCCAAGGUGAUCUUUUGGCCUUCUCCUGGCCAAUGCAGAAAUUCUUUGCUACAUGUUCAAGGCAUGCUGUGACCCGACCCCAUUCUAGGAUUGCCAGAUAGUCUGUAUUAUAAAGGGUAGCCCAUAUUAUAUUUGCAUUAAAAGUCCUGCAUUCAAAGUUUAUGAGAAAUGGCUUUCCUUGGCUUUUCACUGCAUCGCCUGCUUGUCUGGCAACCUGGAUCCUGCAAGUCCAGAGAUGCAGCUAUUGCACACAAGCAAGUAAAUCAUGUAUUUACUGUACAAAUUACCCCUUGCGCACAAUGAGCUGCAACUCACUGCACAAAUGCAACUCAUCUGAGACUAUCCCAGAUUUUGAUAAGCAAAAUGUACCAGCCCUACCUAGUGUGCAGCCCUGUCUCUGCAAAA